rnacentral:rRNA from 1 species
CGUGUAGGCGGGACAGUCAGUCGGAGGUGAAAGGUACGAGCUUAACUCGUAGAUUGCCUUCGAUACUGCUGUUCUUGAGUGCAGGAGAGGGUAGUGGAAUUCCCGGUGUAGCGGUGGAAUGCGCAGAUAUCGGGAGGAACACCCGUGGCGAAGGCGGCUACCUGGCCUGACACUGACGCUGAGGCGCGAAAGCGUAGGGAGCAAACAGGAUUAGAUACCCGAGUAGUCC